UUUAAUGGAGAGUUUGAUCCUGGCUCAGGACGAACGCUGGCGGCGUGCCUAAUACAUGCAAGUCGAGCGGGGUUAUUUAGAAGCUUGCUUCUAAAUAACCUAGCGGCGGACGGGUGAGUAACACGUAGGCAACCUGCCCACAAGACAGGGAUAACUACCGGAAACGGUAGCUAAUACCCGAUACAUCCUUUUCCUGCAUGGGAGAAGGAGGAAAGACGGAGCAAUCUGUCACUUGUGGAUGGGCCUGCGGCGCAUUAGCUAGUUGGUGGGGUAA
rnacentral:rRNA from 1 species